GGUGGAUGCCUUGGCAUUAAGAGCCGAUGAAGGACGUGUGAAUCUGCGAUAAGCCUCGGGGAGCCGAUAACUGGGCUGUGAUCCGAGGAUUUCCGAAUGGGGAAACCUGGCUCAUCUUCAUGGUGAGUUACCGCCAGCUGAAUGUAUAGGCUGGUUGGGGGGAACGCGGGGAAGUGAAACAUCUCAGUACCCGCAGGAAGAGAAAAUAAAGUAAUGAUUCUGUGAGUAGUGGCGAGCGAAAGC
rnacentral:rRNA from 1 species